rnacentral:rRNA from 1 species
UACGAAGGGGGCUAGCGUUGUUCGGAAUCACUGGGCGUAAAGCGCACGUAGGCGGACACUUAAGUCAGAGGUGAAAUCCCAAGGCUCAACCUUGGAACUGCCUUUGAUACUGGGUGUCUUGAGUUCGGGAGAGGUGAGUGGAACUGCGAGUGUAGAGGUGAAAUUCGUAGAUAUUCGCAAGAACACCAGUGGCGAAGGCGGCUCACUGGCCCGAUACUGACGCUGAGGUGCGAAAGCGUGGGGAGCAAACAGG